rnacentral:rRNA from 1 species
UACGUAGGGUGCGAGCGUUGUCCGGAAUUAUUGGGCGUAAAGAGCUUGUAGGCGGUCUGUCGCGUCUGCUGUGAAAAUCCGGGGCUCAACCCCGGACUUGCAGUGGGUACGGGCAGACUAGAGUGUGGUAGGGGAGACUGGAAUUCCUGGUGUAGCGGUGAAAUGCGCAGAUAUCAGGAAGAACACCGAUGGCGAAGGCAGGUCUCUGGGCCACUACUGACGCUGAGAAGCGAAAGCAUGGGGAGCGAACAGG